rnacentral:rRNA from 1 species
UUUGGGAAUUUUUUCCCAAGGGCGAAACCCUGACGGAGCAAUACCGCGUGAGGGAGGAAGGCUCUUGGGUUGUAAACCUCAAAAUUUAGGGAAGAAAAAAAUGGCGGUACCUAAUGUAAGCAUCGGCUAACUCCGUGCCAGCAGCCGCGGUAAUACGGAGGAUGCAAGCGUUAUCCGGAAUCAUUGGGCGUAAAGAGUCCGUAGGUGGCACUUCAAGUCUGCUUUCAAAGACCGAAGCUCAACUUCGGAAAGGGAGUGGAAACUGAAGAGCUAGAGUAUGGUAGGGGUAGAGGGAAUUCCUAGUGUAGCGGUGAAAUGCGUAGAGAUUAGGAAGAACACCAGUGGCGAAGGCGCUCUACUGGGCAUAUACUGACACUGAGGACGAAGGAAGGUGCCC